CCUACGGGUGGCAGCAGUCGAGAAUCAUUCACAAUGGGGGAAACCCUGAUGGUGCGACGCCGCGUGGGGGAAUGAAGGUCUUCGGAUUGUAAACCCCUGUCAUGUGGGAGCAAAUUAAAAAGAUAGUACCACAAGAGGAAGAGACGGCUAACUCUGUGCCAGCAGCCGCGGUAAUACAGAGGUCUCAAGCGUUGUUCGGAAUCACUGGGCGUAAAGGGUGCGUAGGCUGUUUCGUAAGUCGUGUGUGAAAGGCGCGGGCUCAACCCGCGGACGGCACAUGAUACUGCGAGACUAGAGUAAUGGAGAGGUAACCGGAAUUCUCGGUGUAGCAGUGAAAUGCGUAGAUAUCGAGAGGAACACUCGUGGCGAAGGCGGGUUCCUGGACAUUAACUGACGCUGAGGCACGAAGGCCAGGGGAGCGAAAGGGAUUAGAUACCCUAGUAGUC
rnacentral:rRNA from 1 species